rnacentral:rRNA from 1 species
GAUGAACGCUGGCGGCGUGCCUAAUACAUGCAAGUCGAGCGAACAGACGAGGAGCUUGCUCCUCUGACGUUAGCGGCGGACGGGUGAGUAACACGUGGAUACCUACCUAUAAGACUGGGAUAACUUCGGGAAACCGGAGCUAAUACCGGAUAAUAUAUUGAACCGCAUGGUUCAAUAGUGAAAGACGGUUUUGCUGUCACUUAUAGAUGGAUCCGCGCCGCAUUAGCUAGUUGGUAAGGUAACGGCUUACCAAGGCAACGAUGCGUAGCCGAUCUGAGGGGGUGAUCGGCCACACUGGAACUGAGACACGGUCCAGACUCCUACGGGAGGCAGCAGUAGGGAAUCUUCCGCAAUGGGCGAAAGCCUGACGGAGCAACGCCGCGUGAGUGAUGAAGGUCUUCGGAUCGUAAAACUCUGUUAUUAGGGAAGAACAAAUGUGUAAGUAACUAUGCACGUCUUGACGGUACCUAAUCAGAAAGCCACGGCUAACUACGUG